GGCACGGAGGCUGCUCUGCGACGGGGGAGAGGGGGCGUGAUGCCCACCAGCCGGCUCUCCCACACCCCUGGGAGGGGAGCCGGCUUCUCUCUCUGGAUAAUUCAGCCGCAGCUGAACAACAAGUCAGAACCGCAAGGACUGGGGCCGACCUCCUCCGGCCAAGGAUGUGGGACACGGUUCCCUGUGCUGAUCAGCAGGACCUUGGUGCUUUUCCAUUCCGUGUGUGGUAGUUUGCACCUGCAAAUCUCAGCCUCCCACGCCAUCCUCCUGCUGUUGGCAGCCACAGGAAUUUCACUUUGGGGAAUUAAGGGAAGAAAAGUAAUUUGGACAAAGAAGUAAAGAGGUG